AUUAUUUUGGCAGAAAAGUGUGUUAAAUUUAGAAUUUAAGAAUGAUUAAUAUCAAAUAAUA
rnacentral:tRNA from 1 species